ACACGCUGGCGGCGUGCCUAACACAUGCAAGUCAAGGAGAAUUCCCGACUUGUCGGGAUAGUAAACUGGCGAACGGGUGAGUAACACGUAGGUAAUCUACCCUCGGGAUCGGGAUAACCUCGCGAAAGUGGGGAUAAUACCGAAUAAAGUCUCGGUAUAAUUUGUCGAGAUGAAAGAUGGGGAUCUUCGGACCUAUUACCUGAGGAUGAGCCUGCGCCUGAUUAGCUAGUUGGUAGGGUAAAUGCCUACCAAGGCAACGAUCAGUAGCUGGUCUGAGAGGAUGAUCAGCCACAUUGGGACUGAGAUACGGCCCAGACUCCUACGGGAGGCAGCAGUGAGGAAUUUUGCGCAAUGGGCGAAAGCCUGACGCAGCAACGCCGCGUGACUGAUUAAGCUCUGAGGAGUGUAAAAGUCUGUCGUAGAGGAAGAAACUAUCCGAUAAGAAUAUUGUCGGAUACUGACGGUACUCUAUGAGAAAGCUCCGGCUAACUCCGUG
rnacentral:rRNA from 1 species